GAGAGUUGGGGUCUCUCGUAACCAACAUGCAGGUGUUGGUUACAAACUACUUCUAAGCUGCUGCGGUUAAGUACGUGGAGAGAAGCGUUAGAAGAAAAGGCGCUGUUAAAAGUGUCAGGU
rfam:Niabella sp. BS26, complete genome.